rnacentral:pre_miRNA from 1 species
AAAAAGGCAAACCCUGGGUUUCCGUGUCCAACUUUAACUGUCCGUCUUAUAUGAAAUUUUUUUAUAAUUCGUAUUUUCAUUGUUGUUAGAUGAUAAAACAUGAUUAAUAUUUUAUGGAUGACUUGUCUUUUUAAUUUUUUCAUAACUUUUUCAAAUAAGACAGACGGUCAAACGUUGGGCACGGAAACCAGGGUUUGUCUUUUU